rnacentral:hammerhead_ribozyme from 1 species
GUUCUGAUGAGGAGUUCCAGAAACUAGGACGAAACAGCUGUCCAGUAC